AGGUAUACAGGGUGCCCCCCAGCCAUAUCAUUUUAUUACGUUAUAAACCAUAUAUUUGUAUAUUAUAUAAUGUAAAAUGAGAUGGCUGGGGGGCCUGUAUACUC